rnacentral:tRNA from 1 species
GCAGUCGUGGCCGAGUGGUUAAGGCGACGGACUAGAAAUCCAUUGGGGUCUCCCCGCACAGGUUCAUUCUGUCGACUGCG